rnacentral:rRNA from 1 species
GAUGAUCUCCCGCUUGCGGGGGUGAUUAGUGGCGAACGGGUGAGUAAUACGUGAGUAACCUGCCCUUGACUCUGGGAUAAGCCUGGGAAACCGGGUCUAAUACUGGAUACGACCCCCUGUCGCAUGGUGGGGGGUGGAAAGGGUUUGACUGGUUUUGGAUGGGCUCACGGCCUAUCAGCUUGUUGGUGGGGUAAUGGCUCACCAAGGCGACGACGGGUAGCCGGCCUGAGAGGGUGACCGGCCACACUGGGACUGAGACACGGCCCAGACUCCUACGGGAGGCAGCAGUGGGGAAUAUUGCACAAUGGGCGGAAGCCUGAUGCAGCGACGCCGCGUGAGGGAUGACGGCCUUCGGGUUGUAAACCUCUUUCAGCAGGGAAGAAGCCACAAGUGACGGUACCUGCAGAAGAAGCGCCGGCUAACUACGUGCCAGCAGCCGCGGUAAUACGUAGGGCGCAAGCGUUGUCCGGAAUUAUUGGGCGUAAAGAGCUCGUAGGCGGUUUGUCGCGUCUGCUGUGAAAGCCCGGGGCUCAACCCCGGGUCUGCAGUGGGUACGGGCAGACUAGAGUGCAGUAGGGGAGACUGGAAUUCCUGGUGUAGCGGUGAAAUGCGCAGAUAUCAGGAGGAACACCGAUGGCGAAGGCAGGUCUCUGGGCUGUUACUGACGCUGAGGAGCGAAAGCAUGGGGAGCGAACAGGAUUAGAUACCCUGGUAGUCCAUGCCGUAAACGUUGGGCACUAGGUGUGGGGGACAUUCCACG